rnacentral:tRNA from 1 species
GGGCCCGUGGCCUAGCCUGGAUAUGGCGUCGGCUUCCGGAGCCGAAGGUCCGGGGUUCAAAUCCCCGCGGGCCCG